ACUGUUUUUAUCUCAAACCACAAGUUUUACUUCUUUUUUUUUCCAAUUCUCUCCCCCAUCCCACUGGGCAUAGGGGGAGUGAGUGAGUUGCUGGGUGGAGCUUAGUUGCCGGCUGGGGUUAAACCACAACAGUGACUACUGGAGAAAAUGAAGGUCAACUAGGUUCAGAUGGUUCACUUGAUAAGAACCUCACAGACAUGGGGGUGUUGCUUCC